GAUGAAGAACGUAGCGAAAUGCGAUAAGUAGUGUGAAUUGCAGAAUUCAGUGAAUCAUCGAGUCUUUGAACGCACAUUGCGCCCCCUGGUAUUCCGGGGGGCAUGCCUGUCCGAGCGUCAUUGCUGCCCUCAAGCACGGCUUGUGUGUUGGGCCGUCGUCCCACUCCUAGGGGACGGGCCCGAAAGGCAGCGGCGGCACCGCGUCCGGUCCUCGAGCGUAUGGGGCUUCGUCACCCGCUCCGUAGGCCCGGCCGGCGCUUGCCGACGACCAUCAAUCUCUUUCUCCAGGUUGACCUCGGAUCAGGUAGGGAUACCCGCUGAACUUAAGCAUAUCAAUAAGCGGAGGA
rnacentral:misc_RNA from 1 species